UACAGAGGGUGCGAGCGUUAAUCGGAAUUACUGGGCGUAAAGCGCACGUAGGCGGAUUGUAAGUCAGGGGUGAAAUCCCGGAGCUCAACUCCGGAACUGCCCUUGAAACUGCAGUGCUAGAAUCUUGGAGAGGCGAGUGGAAUUCCGAGUGUAGAGGUGAAAUUCGUAGAUAUUCGGAAGAACACCAGGUGCGAAGGCGACUCGCUGGACAAGUAUUGACGCUGAGGUGCGAAAGCGUGGGGAGCAACAG
rnacentral:rRNA from 1 species